AAACGACUCUCGGCAACGGAUAUCUCGGCUCUCGCAUCGAUGAAGAACGCAGCGAAAUGCGAUACUUGGUGUGAAUUGCAGAAUCCCGUGAACCAUCGAGUCUUUGAACGCAAGUUGCGCCCGAAGCCAUUAGGCCGAGGGCACGCCUGCCUGGGCGUCACGCA
rnacentral:rRNA from 1 species